rnacentral:misc_RNA from 1 species
UGGCUUUGGCAUCGAUGAAGAACGCAGCGAAAUGCGAUAAGUAAUGUGAAUUGCAGAAUUCAGUGAAUCAUCGAAUCUUUGAACGCACAUUGCGCCCUUUGGUAGUCCGAGGGGCAUGCCCGUUCGAGUGUCAUUACACCUCUCAAGCCUCGCUUGGUAUUGGAGACAGUGGCUUUACCGGCUGCUCCUCUUGAAUUAAUCGACCGCCUUACCUGUUUUCUGGCGUUGUGCAGACAUUGUCUUCGGACUUUUUGUAUAUCAAAAGAAAAGGGUAACAAGCGGGUGUUUCGUUAACACUUUUAUUCAAAUGGUUGACCUCGAAUCGGGUAGGAAUACCCGCUGA